GGCAGAAUUACAGCGCCACAUAAUGGUCUGGCAUAUAUACUACAUCGUUUUGAGUCGUUUUAGUGGUUUCAUGUGGAGGCAGAUAUUUUUUGAGACGAGGAAAAAAAAAAGAUCGGUUUAGGGUAAGCUCUGGCUUCAUGUGGACGUAGCCUAACACGCAAUGAACACACUGGCUGCGUCUCUACUUCUCUACUAUUUAGUAGGGGAAAAGCAGUAGGCGAGCGAAUAAGUAUGUCAGAAGCAAAAAGAGUAGGAGAAAAUUACCUGGGUGACGUACUAAUACUCAUGAGAUUCGGCCGUGUGCCUACUUAAAGUGCGUCUGAAACCGCCUACUUACCAACGCUAUAAUAGGGGAAAAGCAGUAGGCGAGCGAAUAAGUAUGUCAGAAACCAAAGUAAUCAUAAAUGAGUAGUCGAGAAGUUCCCGGAUGGCCUACUGCUUCCGCUUAGAUUUUUGAGUGCUCAUCUGAUAGAUACUUUUCUAUCCCAGGAGGCCACGGGAGAGGAUGCAACAUAAAGAAGAAGAAGAAGAGGAUACGUUUUGUGCGAUAGGUGGCGGUAAUGCACUUAAAUGUCUGCGAUCCGCCGUAAAGCAAGAAAAAGAAAAAGAAGAAGAAGGAUGGCUGAAAAGUUAGACGCGGGUGUUUUCAAAUGGACAGAUGAGCACGCACAUCUGCUUAUCUGGUGGAGAGCGGCUAUUGAAGCCCACUUCACCAGAAUAGCGGAAUGCUGCCAUCAAAGGCUUUGAAUCUUUUGUGGCCGAGCAGGACCUGCAAGGCAGAGUGACAGCAGCAUUUGUAUAAAAAAAAAAAAAAAAAUGGAAAACCUCAAACAAAAAUAUAAAGUAACAUCAUUUUGUUACUUCUAAUACAGAAAUCAAAUGAUAUUGUGCUGUUAAAAUGACAGCUUUUGUAUUAUGUUUGUGCAUUUUUGUAGGAUCUGAAAUCUCCACAGACUGGUGUGAGCACUGAGGAUGGAGAACCCAAAGCAGCAUCCUGGAAAUGGUUCAGUGCCAUGGAUGAGGCAAUUGGGGGCAGACCCUCCAUCACUCCACCUACCCUUAUUGCCUCAUCUGGCCCAGUUGUUGCUGUGAGUUCUUCAUCCUCAGUGAGCCCCAAGCCAACGAGGGCUAAACGAAAAAGGCCAGAAGACCUCCAAGACAUAAUUAGACAGAUGGAGGAGAGGGAAGCGGAGAGAGAACGGGAAGCUGCUGAGAGGGAGGAGAGACGGUGGAGAGAAGAGAAUGAGAGCGACAAGCGAGAGAGGAAAGGCAAGAAAGAGAUGCAAGGGAUAGAGAAGAGAGGGAAGUGAGAGAGGGAGAGAUAGGGAGACUAAGGAAAGGGACGAAAGGUUAAUUUCCCUCCUUGAAAUCCUUGUUAUAAAAUAAAUUAUAACACAAAAGCAUUUUCUGAUCAUUUACACA